GUUGACCAGGCUGAGGGCUGACACAGAGCACCUCGGAAGUGAGAAGGCAGGCUUCCCAGUACCAGAGAGGAAUGGACGUGGCGUGCAGAAGCGGGAGGGAAUAAAAGCCACCUGGGUAGGGAAGUCCUCUGACCAAUAGUCCUUUUGCAGUGCCCUGUUCCAGGGUCAUGUGGCCACCGCUGCUGCUGCUGUUUCUGCUGCUUCCUGCUGCCCAUGGCGCCCCCCACCCGGCUGCGGACCUCCAGGAAAACUUUCCAAGCGUACUCGAAGAAAUCCAAACUGAAGGAGACAGAGGCAUGUGGAGAGAAGACAACCCGUUCGCUGGCUCCCGCUGUCCUCCUGGCUCAUGAGGUGGCUUCUAUGUGGUCCAGAAGCUGGGGGCGAGGACCUGUAGCCUCGUGAAGGCCUGCCAGGCACAGGAUCCGGAGCUCCACACUCCUCCCAAAAUCCCUGGUCUCCUCCGGGGGCCCUUCAGCUGCUGAAGGGGCUGGGGGUGGACACCAUUAUCCUAGCAGGGGACAUAUGUGGAACUCACCAGACCCACCUGCAGCACCAUUUCAAAAUAAAAGUAAAAUUUCAAGCUUA
ensembl:lincRNA Rbakdn RB-associated KRAB zinc finger downstream neighbor (non-protein coding)